UGGGGAAUAUUGGACAAUGGGCGAAAGCCUGAUCCAGCCAUGCCGCGUGUGUGAAGAAGGCCUUUUGGUUGUAAAGCACUUUAAGUGGGGAGGAAAAGCUUGUGGUUAAUACCCAUAAGCCCUGACGUUACCCACGGAAUAAGCACCGGCUAACUCUGUGCCAGCAGCCGCGGUAAUACAGAGGGUGCAAGCGUUAAUCGGAAUUACUGGGCGUAAAGCGCGCGUAGGUGGUUAUUUAAGUCAGAUGUGAAAGCCCCGGGCUUAACCUGGGAACUGCAUCUGAUACUGGAUAACUAGAGUAGGUGAGAGGGGAGUAGAAUUCCAGGUGUAGCGGUGAAAUGCGUAGAGAUCUGGAGGAAUACCGAUGGCGAAGGCAGCUCCCUGGCAUCAUACUGACACUGAGGUGCGAAAGCGUGGGUAGCAAACAGGAUUAGAUACCCUGGUAGUCCACGCCGUAAACGAUGUCUACCAGUCGUUGGGUCUUUUAAAGACUUAGUGACGCAGUUAACGCAAUAAGUAGACCGCCUGGGGAGUACGGCCGCAAGGUUA
rnacentral:rRNA from 1 species